rnacentral:rRNA from 1 species
AUACAGGGUGACAGCCCCGUACACAAAAGCGCAUGUGCUGUGAGCUCGAUGAGUAGGGCGGGACACGUGGUAUCCUGUCUGAAUAUGGGGGGACCAUCCUCCAAGGCUAAAUACUCCUGACUGACCGAUAGUGAACCAGUACCGUGAGGGAAAGGCGAAAAGAACCCCGGCGAGGGGAGUGAAAAAGAACCUGAAACCGUGUACGUACAAGCAGUGGGAGCACCCUUUGGGGUGUGACUGCGUACCUUUUGUAUAAUGGGUCAGCGACUUAUAUUCUGUAGCAAGGUUAACCGAAUAGGGGAGCCGGAGGGAAACCGAGUCUUAAUUGGGCGUUAAGUUGCAGGGUAUAGACCCGAAACCCGGUGAUCUAGCCAUGGGCAGGUUGAAGGUUGGGUAACACUAACUGGAGGACCGAACCGACUAAUGUUGAAAAAUUAGCGGAUGACCUGUGGCUGGGGGUGAAAGGCCAAUCAAACCGGGAGAUAGCUGGUUCUCCCCGAAAGCUAUUUAGGUAGCGCCUCGUGAAUUCAUCUCCGGGGGUAGAGCACUGUUUCGGCUAGGGGGCCAUCCCGGCUUACCAACCCGAUGCAAACUGCGAAUACCGGAGAAUGUUAUCACGGGAGACACACGGCGGGUGCUAACGUCCGUCGUGAAGAGGGAAACAACCCAGACCGCCAGCUAAGGUCCCAAAGUCAUGGUUAAGUGGGAAACGAUGUGGGAAGGCCCAGACAGCCAGGAUGUUGGCUUAGAAGCAGCCAUCAUUUAAAGAAAGCGUAAUAGCUCACUGGUCGAGUCGGCCUGCGCGGAAGAUGUAACGGGGCUAAACCAUGCACCGAAGCUGCGGCAGCGACACUAUGUGUUGUUGGGUAGGGGAGCGUUCUGUAAGCCUGCGAAGGUGGCCUGUGAGGGUUGCUGGAGGUAUCAGAAGUGCGAAUGCUGACAUAAGUAACGAUAAAGCGGGUGAAAAGCCCGCUCGCCGGAAGACCAAGGGUUCCUGUCCAACGUUAAUCGGGGCAGGGUGAGUCGACCCCUAAGGCGAGGCCGAAAGGCGUAGUCGAUGGGAAACGGGUUAAUAUUCCCGUACUUGGUGUUACUGCGAAGGGGGGACGGAGAAGGCUAUGUUGGCCGGGCGACGGUUGUCCCGGUUUAAGCGUGUAGGUGUGUGUUCCAGGUAAAUCCGGUU